AUCGAAGAAGAAUAUGAGGAGAGUCUUCGGCGUUAAGAAAGAUAAAGAACCUCCUCCUUCUAUUCAAGAUGCUUCUGAUAGGAUUAAUAAAAGGGGCGACUCAGUGGAAGAAAAGAUUAAAAAGCUUGAUGCGGAGCUCACUAGAUACAGGGAACAGAUUAAGAAAACCCGACCUGGACCUGCUCAAGAGGCUAUAAAAGCUCGAGCCAUGAGGGUUCUUAAGCAAAAGCGAAUGU